CAGGGAUAUUAUGGAGGUAACAGAGGCAAAGAAGCACCACUCUGACAUGGAAAAUAAUUUCCGUUGUCAGAUUAUUCUUGUUUAACUGGGUUUAACUUUAUAGUAGGGUUAAAUGUGGCCUUUGAAGGUUGGUGAGUAACAACAUCUUUUAAAACAUGGUGAAUUCCAACAAGAAAAGACCAAGGCAACAGACGCAUGAGAGUGAGGUAUUUACCUGAGGGCGAUUGAAGUCACCAGCUUAACAGUAGUGGAAAGACCUUAAGCCAGAGAACUCCAGGUUCAAGAACCACCACCUGCAAACUUGGCAAAUUUGGACAAAUGUCUCUCUGAGUUUCAUUGUCUUCAUCCACAAAUAAAGCAAGAUUACUUCACCUACAGAAUUGCGGGACACCCUCUUUUUAAAGGACAUUCAAUUCAAAUGUAUCUUCUCUGGUUAAAGUAUGGUGAAGUCUGUCCUGUGGGCACUCCCCAUUGACCCCUAGCAGCUCUU
rnacentral:lncRNA from 1 species